GACGAACGCUGGCGGCGUGCUUAACACAUGCAAGUCGAACGGUAAGGCCCUUCGGGGUACACGAGUGGCGAACGGGUGAGUAACACGUGGGUGAUCUGCCCUGCACUUCGGGAUAAGCCUGGGAAACUGGGUCUAAUACCGGAUAGGACCACUGCCUGCAUGGGGGGUGGUGGAAAGCUUUUGCGGUGUGGGAUGGGCGCGCGGCAUAUCAGCUGGUUGGUGGGGGGAUGGCCUACCAAGGCGACGACGGGUAGCCGGCCUGAGAGGGUGACCGGCCACACUGGGACUGAGAUACGGCCCAGACUCCUACGGGAGGCAGCAGUGGGGAAUAUUGCACAAUGGGCGCAAGCCUGAUGCAGCGACGCCGCGUGAGGGAUGACGGCCUUCGGGUUGUAAACCUCUUUCAGCACCGACGAAGCGCAAGUGACGGUAGGUGCAGAAGAAGGACCGGCCAACUACGUGCCAGCAGCCGCGGUAA
rnacentral:rRNA from 1 species